rnacentral:rRNA from 1 species
UAAUACGAAGGGGGCUAGCGUUGUUCGGAAUUACUGGGCGUAAAGCGCGCGUAGGCGGCUUUGUCAGUCAGGGGUGAAAUCCCGGGGCUUAACCUCGGAACUGCCCUUGAUACUGCAAGGCUUGAGUCCGUGAGAGGAUGGUGGAAUACCCAGUGUAGAGGUGAAAUUCGUAGAUAUUGGGUGGAACACCAGUGGCGAAGGCGGCCAUCUGGCACGGUACUGACGCUGAGGUGCGAAAGCGUGGGGAGCAAACAGG